AAGGAUGUAGCUCAGUGGUACAGCACCUGCCUGGCAAGUGUGAGGUCCUGAGUUCAAUUCCCAGUACCCUAG
rnacentral:tRNA from 1 species